CGAGUGAGCGGCAAGAGCUCAGAUUUGAAAUCGUGCUUUGCGGCACGAGUUGUAGAUUGCAGGUUGGAGUCUGUGUGGAAGGCGGUGUCCAAGUCCCUUGGAACAGGGCGCCCAGGAGGGUGAGAGCCCCGUGGGAUGCCGGCGGAAGCAGUGAGGCCCUUCUGACGAGUCGAGUUGUUUGGGAAUGCAGCUCCAAGCGGGUGGUAAAUUCCAUCUAAGGCUAAAUACUGGCGAGAGACCGAUAGCGAACAAGUACUGUGAAGGAAAGAUGAAAAGCACUUUGAAAAGAGAGUGAAACAGCACGUGAAAUUGUUGAAAGGGAAGGGUAUUGCGCCCGACAUGGGGAUUGCGCACCGCUGCCUCUCGUGGGCGGCGCUCUGGGCUUUCCCUGGGCCAGCAUCGGUUCUUGCUGCAGGAGAAGGGGUUCUGGAACGUGGCUCUUCGGAGUGUUAUAGCCAGGGCCAGAUGCUGCGUGCGGGGACCGAGGACUGCGGCCGUGUAGGUCACGGAUGCUGGCAGAACGGCGCAACACCGCCCGUCUU
rnacentral:rRNA from 1 species